rnacentral:tRNA from 1 species
GCCUGGGUGGCUCAGUCGGUUGAGCAUCUGACUUCGGCUCAGGUCAUGAUCUCACAGUCUGUGGGUUUGAGACCCGCGUCGGGCU